rnacentral:lncRNA from 1 species
AAUUGCCUGCACAGCUACUAUGGCUUCAUUAAUUUUUGUCUGUAGCUCUCUGAUUUCUUCUAUAUGCAGCAAUCGCAGAAUUUGAGCAGCUUUAUUAUGAACUGCAUCUACUGUGUCAAAACCAAGAAUUUGUUUGUUUGAAGCAACAAGGAAACUCUAUUUUGAUUUGUUUUACCAACUGCAUACUGUGUUAGGCCUCCUGAACCAAAAUGUGAACUGCCUUAAGCAUUACCAUCCAAUUACCAUGGUAAUUACCUGAAGGAAGUUAGCCAAAGCCAUUAUGCCAACCUUAAAACUGAUUGUGUAUAGCCAAAUUGAUCAGUGGUUCUGCAUUUUAAGUUGCAUUUCAGUAUUUUUUGCAUUGUCAGGUGAUAAGUCCUUGUAUUUUUCAACAUUAUCUCUAUAUUCAAGUCUAACAGCUAAGCCAAGCAGCCAGUCAAUUGCUUCUUGUGGAUCCUGAAUCUUGAAAGGACAGUCAAUGUUUCUGAGAUACUUUUCAAAAAACUUAGGCCAGUCACUGCUGGGGAUGUUUCUUAAAUUAUGUCUGUCUUAAAUGUGGGAGUGUCUAAAUUUCUGUUCUUUAAGUCAAACAAUAAAAUUUCUAAAUUCUGUUUUAUCUUUGCAGUUGAAGCCAGCAGGGUUGUGAUAGUUGAGAGUCAUCAGCUUGUGUUGGAACAUGGUCCCUGCUUCUCCCUCGCAUUCCCCAGGCCGCCCCUGGGAGAGGAGAAGCUAGGCCAUAUUACAUUUGUCAUCUGACACCAAGAUUUGGCCAAGGAAAUGCAAAUGCAAGAUUCUGUGAUCAUGGAAAGGUAUGUAUCUCCAGUUUGCAACAGUUGUAUACGUUUUUGAAAAUGCCCUAGAUUGUACUGUUAUUGGAUUC